GGGCAGGUGGCCGAGCGGUCUAAGGCGAUCGCUUCAGGUUCACAUCUGAAGUUGCGGUUGUACUCUGUACGCGUGGGUUCGAAUCCCACCCUGCUCA